rnacentral:rRNA from 1 species
GACGAACGCUGGCGGCGUGCUUAACACAUGCAAGUCGAACGGAAAGGCCCUGCUUUUGUGGGGUGCUCGAGUGGCGAACGGGUGAGUAACACGUGAGUAACCUGCCCUUGACUUUGGGAUAACUUCAGGAAACUGGGGCUAAUACCGGAUAGGAGCUCCUGCUGCAUGGUGGGGGUUGGAAAGUUUCGGCGGUUGGGGAUGGACUCGCGGCUUAUCAGCUUGUUGGUGGGGUAAUGGCUUACCAAGGCUUUGACGGGUAGCCGGCCUGAGAGGGUGACCGGCCACAUUGGGACUGAGAUACGGCCCAGACUCCUACGGGAGGCAGCAGUGGGGAAUAUUGCACAAUGGGCGGAAGCCUGAUGCAGCAACGCCGCGUGCGGGAUGACGGCCUUUGGGUUGUAAACCGCUUUCGCCUGUGACGAAGCGUGAGUGACGGUAAUGGGUAAAGAAGCACCGGCUAACUACGUG